UACGAAGCGUGCGAACGUUGUUCGGAAUCACUGGGCUUAAAGGGCGCGUAGGCGGGCCUCCCAGUCCGGGGUGAAAGCUUUCGGCUUAACCGGAAAAGUGCCUUGGAUACUGGAGGUCUGGAGGGAGGUAGGGGCAGUCGGAACUUCCGGUGGAGCGGUGAAAUGCGUUGAUAUCGGAAGGAACGCCGGUGGCGAAAGCGGACUGCUGGACCUUUUCUGACGCUGAGGCGCGAAAGCCAGGGGAGCGAACGGG
rnacentral:rRNA from 1 species